GGACCUGACUGCUAUCGGAUUGAUACUAAGCCAUGCGAGUCAUUGUAGCAAUACAAGGCAUACGGCUCAGUAACGCGUAGUCAACCUAACCUAUGGACGGGAAUAACCUCGGGAAACUGAGAAUAAUGCCCGAUAGAACAUUAUGCCUGGAAUGGUUUAUGUUCCAAAUGAUUUAUCGCCGUAGGAUGGGACUGCGGCCUAUCAGUUUGUUGGUGAGGUAAUGGCCCACCAAGACUAUUACAGGUACGGGCUCUGAGAGGAGUAGCCCGGAGAUGGGUACUGAGACACGGACCCAGGCCCUAUGGGGCGCAGCAGGCGAGAAAACUUUGCAAUGUGCGAAAGCACGACAAGGUUAAUCCGAGUGGUUUCUGCUAAAGAAACCUUUUGUCAGUCCUAGAAACACUGAUGAAUAAGGGGUGGGCAAGUUCAGGUGU
rnacentral:rRNA from 1 species